rfam:Spinacia oleracea cultivar SynViroflay C25029319.1, whole genome shotgun sequence.
UCCCAUUGAUGAAGAAUUCCCAUUAAAAAUUGGAAGUGUCGUCUAACACUUUAUAUAGCAGAAUCGAAGGU